AUUUAAAUUAGAUAUAUGUAUUAAAAAUGUCAAAUGCGGAAGUGUAAUAAAAAUUUUGAUUAACAUCCCUUACACAAUAACCAAAACGUACUCAAAACAUGAAAGAACAAACUAACUAAAAGAGAUACUCGAGAUAUGAACUAUAAAUAUAACUAUGAAGUCUUUAGGCGUCCCCUUCGCCGUCUUCCUGCGGAACGGGCUCGGGAACAAUGUCUUCCUGAUCUGAAAUGGUUAAAUAAGGAAUGAGCUAUACCAGCCCAGUAAAGACAUCACACUAUCUCACCGUCACGGAAAUAAAGGUGGGUAGAAAACAAAAAUUACUAAUGGAGCAUAAUUUAUAACAAAUUCGUUUAUUAACAUAAAAACCUUUACUGUCCACUUACCUCGGUGAGAUCCAUGAAAACAACAUAUGAAAACAAUAACCUUAUAAUAUCAUGAAAUCAUACACACUUUAUAACAUAACACAUAUCAUACCUUUACAUUUCAAUCAUCAGAAAACAGAUUUCCUCUUUUACCAGCCUACUAGUAUCCCUGGGGAUCUAUAGGGGGUCCCCGCUACACGUGAACCAUUAACAUUUACAACCUGAUUCCAGGGCCGUCCCCAUACCCCGUCCGGUAUGGGCGCCAAAACCAUGAACCUCAAUACCCCGUCCGGUAUGAGGGUGAAACGGGCCGUCCACAUACCCCGUCCAGUAUGGGCGCCAAAACACAUAAGGUCUCCAUACUCCGUCCGAUAUGAGAGACCACGUCCUCGGUAGGGGUUCCCUACGGACCCGGUCCGUCCACCAUCUCCCAGGAUAUCUAGUCAGGCUGUCCACAUUAUCCAUUUAUCAAUUCACAUAACAUUUUUGCCCUUUUUCUUGGUUUCAAUCAUCCAAACACACACAACAUGUAAACCAGUAAUAGACACCAAACAAGACAACAUAGUAUCGGGUUAAGCAUAAUACCAACCAUAAUAAAAAAAACCAUAAUUCAUGCAUACGAGACCAUAAUAUAAUUAUAUCAAACAUCAUGCUGCAUUUAAUACUGAAAAUUAAAUCAAACAAUAACAGACCAACCCAGUAUCAGACUCAGGCUCCAUUAGCAACCUUAAUCAAUUAUACAUCUAUAAAGUCACACAGUACAGUUUAAUUAUUUAUUUGACUUCAAUACCGUGAUAGGAAAUAGGGUGAAAGGUCCUUACCUGUUUCGGGGUCUGAAUUUGACUCUACAGUGCGCCUAUAGGCUGAAACGCACUACUGGUACCUGCACGUGUCCCAAAAAAUCCCAAAUUAGACCUAGGGCCCCUUUCGGCCAAUAUCGCAAUUCCGGCACGGCAGCUCUGUCGUGCUCCGGCGACGGCGUGGCGGCGAUUCGCCUCGGGUUGGUCGUAUUCGACCGUUUUCGGCCAAAUUCAACCAUGCUUGCAUUGGUCCCUGCGAUAAAACAAUCCUAGGGCCUCGGUGGGAUGAAAAAUCACGAAAAACUGAAACUCAACGGCGGCGGUGCUCUCGGGUGCAGCGGCUCCUCCGGCAUGAGUCGCAUUUUGAUGUUUGGCUUCGAUUAACUUGUAGAGAAAACAACGGUGAUCACGGUGGUAUAAAAUUUGCAUCAAACGGAGGCCGGAAAAGGCUUCAUCGGAGGCAAAAAUCCAGGAGGGGCGCGGCGGCGCUGCUGAAUUUCGGCUGGGUUUUUCGGCCGUUAGGCUGGUGGUUUGGCUCCGAUUUUGCCAUAGGUGGACUCAGCAUCAAAAAAUGAGCAGGGAGGAGAAAAUUUACCUCGAUCGGCAGUCGGAAACUUCCCCGGUGCGGCGGCGGGUGGCGGCGGCUGGCUCCUCCGGUGUCUGGUUCUUCUUCUCCGACGAGGCACUGGCGGCUAGGGUUUUCUGGUCAGGUGUGGGUGGGGUUAUUUAUACUCUUUUCCUUUUAAUCUCAGCCGUUCAUCAAGAUUAAAUCUGGACCGUUCGAUCGCGAUUUAAUUGUGAUUAAAUCUGGGCCGUCGAUCGCGAUGCAAUCUAGGCCCUCCGUGCCUGAUUGAAUCUGGGCCGUCCGUGCACGUGAAUCUGGGCCGUCCGUGCACAUGUUUGAUCUAGGUCGUCCAUGCGCGCGGGAACGGAUCUGGGCCGUCCGAUUGCGCGCACGCGGAUCGCCCACAUCGCUCGUCCCCUGGUCAGUGUUUCCUUGCCACGCGGCGCGUCCUGGCUGGCCGGGGCUGCUGACCGGGCCGCUGACAUGGUUGCUGACGUGGUGCUGAUGUGGCAUAACUUUUUUAAAUUGUGUUUUGACCCCCGGUUU
rnacentral:lncRNA from 1 species